GCAUGGUCAGCUUUCUCGAGUAACUUUUGAAUAGACUUUUUGUUAUUUUCAUUACAUGGUUAUCUAGGCCUACUAUUCUUGCCACUCAAGUGUCAGCCCUUGAUUUCAAACUGUUGCAGUUCUGAAAGCGUUUUUGUCUUUUUCUUCACCUUCUCCUCAUAUCUUCGCUUAACAUCAUAAAUUUUGGUGCUCUAAGCAAUUCCAAUCUCUGGAGCUUUAAACUUUGAUACAAAUCCUAUUACCUUAAUCAGUUGGCAUCUUUAGUGUUAUAUCUUCUUCUUCAUCUCUUUAAUUGUCAUCCUUCAUUUUGUUAUCCCAAGCACUGUAAAAUCUUAAUAGCGUCAUUUAGUCAAAUUGGCUUAUGACCACCUGAGCAGCAGAAAGAUGAUAAAUGAAAAUUCUACAACUUCUUACCUUUCUCUGUUAUUUUUUCCUUUGAAGAUUUGUGUCAUGUUCAUAUUCUCUAUUUCCAAGGAAUCCUACUGCACCUGGUAUUGGGAGGUAGAAGCUCUUUCCAAAGUAGUGUUGUUUUUAAUUUUUGAUUUUUCCUGUUCCUGAAGGCACUAUACUUAAAGGAUUUAGGUAUCUGCCUAUGUAUUGUAUUAACAAUUACCUGAAACUCUCUCUCUCUCCAGAAAGCCAAACUUUUUGAGGAUGGAAGCAUUAAAUACAUUUACUGAUUUACACAUAAUUAAUACUGCCCUUCGAUUAUUGUCCCCAUUUAUCUUUCUCUGAUCACAUGCAUUUACAGUCACAAACAGGAUUCUACCGUAAAUGAGAAGAUUGAUUACCUUAACUUUUUAAUCUUGAGAAUGAACCCGUGGCAUCAAAAGGGGAAUAAUGGAAAGCAAGGACAGGAAGGCAAGACAACAUCAACACACAAACAGAAACAGAGGCUAACCAUUUUGUUGGAGAACAUAUUGAGGGCAUGGUCAAUGCACUAUUGAUCCAACAUCGUGGCUGUCAUAUUUUCUUGGCAUUUGAUCAAGCAGUUCUGAUGCUCUACCAUUCGCAUGGUCUGAAAGGAUGGGCAAAAUUAUUAAGAUUGCUUUGCAUAGAAUAUAGUUGCCACCAUGGAUGGAAUCCCCCAACACGAUGCUGCAAAGAGUUUAACAGGAAGGAUUUAGAUUUCCCAAUUGCUUAUGUUGUUUGUCUGCACCUUCUUCGUGUUCAUCGUCAGAUACCUUGUCUGUUGCUAACCUUUGCAGGUUAAUUAUGAAUUAAUGAUCUAAAUGCCACAGCCACUGGUUCAAUGCCUUAAUAAAACAUGGGAUGUGAAUGCUUGUGCAGAAUCAGACCCAGUUGUAAAAGCCAAUUCUUCUUCACUAACCUGUAAGAACAUGUCAGAAUACUUUGUUGUAAUGAUUGAAUAGUUAUAAGACAUGCAGUUUGUUGACCCCUGCGUACGUGUGACUUGUAUUAUAGUGAGGUAUUGUUAACAUUUAUCCGGAAAAUUCUAUAAAUAUGCAACGGCACCGAUAUCCUGUACGAAAUGAAAAAUGUUUUGUAUAAUGUGAAGGUUUAAUGUACAACACAACACAAAAUGUUGUAUUGCAUAGAGACCUUUUUC